rnacentral:rRNA from 1 species
AACGAACGCUGGCGGCAUGCCUAACACAUGCAAGUCGAACGAGACCUUCGGGUCUAGUGGCGCACGGGUGCGUAACGCGUGGGAACCUGCCCUUAGGUUCGGAAUAACUCCCCGAAAGGGGUGCUCAUACCGGAUAAUGUCUUCGGACCAAAGAUUUAUCGCCUUUGGAUGGGCCCGCGUUGGAUUAGCUAGUUGGUAGGGUAAAAGCCUAUCAAGGCGACGAUCCAUAGCUGGUCUGAGAGGAGGAUCAGCCACACUGGGACUGAGACACGGCCCAGACUGCUACGGGAGGCAGCAGAGGGGAAUAUUGGACAAUGGGCGAAAGCCUGAUCAAGCAAUGCCGCGGGAGUGAUGAAGGCCUUAGGGUUGUAAAGCUCUUUUACCCGGGAUGAUAAUGACAGUACCGGGAGAAUAAGCACCGGCUAACUCCGUG